CCAUAGCAUGUACACCCCAAAUUCUAGAUAUUCCAUUUAUUUUGCUUAAUGUCUAUCUCCCUCCUGGAGAAUGUUAGCUCUGUGAGGGCAGGGCUUUCCAUUGUUUAUUGCUACAUCUCCAGCACAGAGCAGUGCUUAGUGCAUUGUUGGAAUGAAAGAUACAGACUUCAGGAGCUAGUCUGUGUGAGGCAAGGGGUGCUAGGAAAACAUUAAAACAGUUUUGCCCUGCUUAUCCCUGUUUGGUUUGCAGCAAGUUUCUGACUCCCUCUUGGUGUGGGCAAUCAUCUAGCCCUGUCCUUGAUCUUACAUAUGAGUGUGAGGGUCUUUUUUUUUUGCUCUAAAAUUAUGGGAUGAUUAUGCAAAAGUUGCUGUACUGCACUCAGAGCCCGCAAGUCCUCUAGUUAUUGUGAGGCAGGAGGCGGUGCUUCUUGGCUGGGAAAGUCACUGGCCACAAGAUGGGUAAGAUGUGAUGAGGCAGACAGUGAUGCUGCGUUCAGGAGAUGUCUGGAGAUGGUGGAAGGCAGGUCAGACAAUGACAGAAGGGUCCUUGAGGGGUAUGAUGGGAAACAAAUCUAAAAAGAUAGGUUGAAGCCAUGUUUGCAGAGAUUUGUCUCCAGGUCAGAGUCCAAACUCCUUAGUCUGGAAUUUCGUGGGCGAGGCGCAAAUGAUUUCGAGCAGGAAAGGACCCAAAUGGUAUUUUAGAAAGAUUCAUCUAUGCAGGAUGGAUUAGCAGGAGGUGAUUCUGGAGUCAGAAGACUGUUAAAGAUUUUUAGUCUUGGGUGGUAAGGGCCUGGACUCUCAUGGGGACAGUAGGACUACAGCUGGAAGAACAAAUGUGAGAUGCGUUCUGAGGGAACUUGGAAGAAGACCUGGAACUAGAAGGCUGGAAGUAAAGAAAAGCAAAAAGAGAAAAGUCACUUAGAUACACAGCCAAGAAUGAAAGGAAGAAAGAGGAAGGCCAGAGAGAAAGCUGCCUUGUGGAGGAAGAUGAGAGUUGCAGGGACUAUAUCUUAGUGAGUUGGAGCCGCUAUAACAAAAGUACUUUAGAUUGGGGGACUUCGAACAGUUAUUCCUCGCAGUUCUGGAGGCUGGGAAGUCCAAGAUCAAGGUGCCAGCAGAUAACGGUGUCUGGUGGAAGCUGACUCCUGGCUGGUAACAGCCACCUUCCCACUGUGUCCUCACAUGGAAGAGAGAGGUAGUGUGUCUCUUCCUCUUCCACUCCGGGGACCCCACCCUCAUGACCACCUGUAACCCUAGUUACCGCCCAAAGGCCACCUCCAAAUUCUGUCCCAUUGGCGAUGCGGGUUUCAACAUGUGAAUUUCUGGUGGGCGCCCACAUCAGUCCGUAGCACAGACUCUCGGUGUUCCCCAGGUGAGGAGACUCAGGGUUGGGGUCCCUUUCUGAGUGUUCCCGAGCAAAGCACCAAAGUUCAAGAGAAUAUUCUUUUCCACACGGGAAGAUCUGUGUUGUCUGAAAGCAGGACUGUAGGAAGAGAUCAAACAUGCUGGGUAAGGAGCAAGCCGGAGAGGUCGUCCUUUAGGAGGAGAGAGGUCUCUCGCUGGCGGAGACAGAAAUGUGGCCUGGCUGGAGCAAAAGAGCAAACAUUCAGAGGCAGAGGUCAGGAAACACGGGGGAGCUUAUUGCUAGGUGAUGCUUCCCAGGGAAGAAGGAAGCACAGUUAGCUGGCAAGGGUGGGAUUGGGGCUUGUUUAAGAGGGGGAGGAACCGGGCAAAGGACGGUGAUUGCAGAGCAAGUGCCUGAGCUGAGUCUUCGUGACCAGCAAGGUUAGAUAGCCCUCACCUCUGCCCCGACUCUCCGUGCCCGUACCCUGCUUUAGUUGAUUGCUUGCAUUUAUCGCUAUGUAAAAUCAUCUUAUUUAUUAUUUGAAUGUUAACUUAUGCCUUCCUCUUUAGAAUGGAAAUAAGGAGAAUCUAACGUGUGAAUGACGACAACGGUGAGGUUACUGGCCAGGAGCAAAGCCCGGGUGCCAAACGCACUAGGAUCCAGUGGAACCUUCCAGCCGUUGAUCUUACCAUCUUCUCACUGUUACUCACUCCUCUCCUGUUCUUGCUUCCUUCAGAGCCUGCUUAAAAUCCAUGGUCAAUCACUGAAAUCAUUUUCUUGCCCCUCUUCCUUGUGGGUGUGGUUUCCAAACCGUAACCCUGAUGUAAUGUCACUCUUUACCCAACCCAACCCUCUACCCAUCUGGCACCGCACAAGCUUACAUGGUACAACGAUCCUGUGUCCAACAAAAAAUACACGUACCCUUUCUACAGAAGAGGGUGCAAGGUCCCUGGGUGAUGUUCAGUCUUGCUAUCCUAUAACUUAAAUAAUGUGAUAUAAAGUGAGCUCCUGUUAAUAUCUCUGUAUUAGAUGAUAAGGGGAAAAGAGAAGAAAAUAAAAAUGUUUGCUACAUACACAUACAGAGACGUAUUCAUAACAAAGUUAGGAAGAAAUACUUACAACAAUGAUAGUCCUUCAUAACAAUGAUGGGCUUCACUGGUCAUGUGAUUGUAGCUGAUAUUUAUAACUACCUUAUUCCACUAUUCUUUCCAUAUUUCCUCAGCAGGCACCUUCUAGUCAUGCUUCUUUGCCUGGUGAGGUGAUCCAAACCUGCAUUCCUGAAAGGACGGGUCCUGCCUGAAUUGGAUUGUAGUUUUCCACAGGGCAGGGUAGUACUGAGACCCUAAACAAUCUCCUGUAUUCCAGCCUCAAACUCUUGCUCAGCUCUGCUGUGGAGUAGAGUCCAAUCUCCCCUUGGGAGUCGAGAUCAACCACCCUCGCCAGUACAACAACGCCUGACUCUGCCUGUCAAUUCAGCGGCAUGAGGGUCUCAAAGUGGCCGAGUGGGAAUACUCUUAACUUCCAGUUUAAUGGAGUCACUAUUGUAUCUCCUGGUGGAAGCACUCCUGCCUUUGGAACUCAGACCUCUAGACCAGCAGAGCGUAAGGUCAUGGGAACAGGAAGCAAAACUUUUGCUAGCGGAUCAGUAGGGGUAAGAGUGAGUGGUACCACUGCCAUUUCCACCUCUUGAUUCCUGGACCCAUGAAUCUUGGCUAUGGGAGAGAUAGCACCAUAGUUUAAAAGCUGAUUUAGAGCAUAAACAGACUCCUGAGAACAUUACCCCAGGCUUGCAAGGUUAGGGAACCAAGGUGGGAAUUCUGCCAGCUGCUGAGUAGAUCUAUUCCAAUUUUGCUUUUCAGACUGGGUGAAAUAAUCACAGGAUGGGUUCAGAGAUGCACUGGACCCACUGUGAGAUGUACCUGAACUAAAACUCCAUUGACCACCUGACCUCCAUAAGCCCCUACCCUGACUAGUGGACCACAGGGACAUUUUGGGUCUCCUGGAAUUAGUGUCAUUCUGAGCUGGUGUCCAGUAAUUUCCCAAAGUCUGAUUAUUUUCUUUCUCCAAUGCACAGUCAUUGGUGAAAGGCUGUAGGUGCCUUUGGGGGAAGGCUAGGAGAAGGAUUAACGGUAUACACUUUUGACAGUGUCCUGGGGUCUUUCCUCAAUAGGAAUGAAGGGAAGGUGGUCUUCCCUUCAUUCAAGGGGUUCUGAUUCUGUAAAACGGCUCAAGCUGGGGAAUUGAUUAGGGAGCCACGACUCUUUAUUUUGGUGAUUCAACUUAGCCUUCUGUUCACUCAGCCUAAAACUCCUCUGCUUAUACAGGUCAAGCAAGCCUUUUGUAGACGGCGCAUCGCUUUCUCCUCUGGCACACCGUGAUCCCCUGCCAGCACCAUAGGUCUCUGUGACUCAGGCUCUUCUGAUCGCAUAUUUGUCUCCACUGUCCAUUAUGGUCGUCACACCCACCUUGUCUUCAGCAAUUAAGGGCCAACAUUUGGUCCCUGCCACUCCAAGAUCCAAUGAUCCCUCUUGUAUUGAAGGAUCCCAGCUCACUGGCAGCAGAUUCCACUGUAACUUCUCACCAUCAGAGAUGGACAAGCACAGAGCAAUUCAAGGAUGCUAGGCUCCCCUCGUAUAUUCUCACAGUCGUGGUGAUGGGCGUGUCCCCUGGACCCUCCUGCAAACUUCCAACACAGUUCCACGAGCAGCCUUUACCACUGAAGCAUGGGAUCAUGGAAGAUAGCCCUGAAGAUGGCAGCCAGAUGUUCCUCUGGGAAGCCUCCCACCUGCAUGGUGUGUCUGCCCUGCAUUUUGUUUGGAGCUCCAGGGUUAGCCCUGCAUAGAAUCCUUCCGAGGGGACGGCAAUCCGAACCUGGUGACGUCAGGUGGCAGGUGUUAGGGGCUGCUUGGAGUGGCGAGCCACGUGUGCAAAGGGCCAGUUUGCAGGUCCGCCUGUCACUCAACUGGGCCUGUGAGCCCCCGAGGUUGGGGGCCCUGUCGUACUCUUUAUCACCCACUUCUAACUCAGUGUCUGGCACCCUUCAAAUGAAUUCUUCAAAUAAAUGAAUGAAUGGAUGGAUCUAUUGAAAUGAAUGAAUCCUUCAAAUGAAUGGCUCCUUCAAAUGGAUGGAUGGAUGAGGUUAGGAGAUGACUGGUGUGAAAGCAAAGGGAUACAGCCUUUUCAGAGUCCAGAAGACAAUUCUGAGAAAAAUUGGGCUCAGGAAAAAAAAAAAAAAAGGAAGAUUGUCGUGAGCCCGUUUCCUGAUCCGUAAACUGUAAGACCUGGAGAAGCGACCUCUCGUGUUCCUUCCGUGGAUACAGUGGACGCGGACGGGAACUCUCUGGCUUCCUGCUCCAGAACCCCAGGAGACAAAACAGUGCGUUCAACUUGGGCUUCGUCGGUGGGUGUUUCUGUUCUUCUGGUCUUUUCUCUGUUUUCAAGCAGAUCAAAGCACAUCUUGUGAAAUGUUUUGGCCCCGGAUUAGAAUUUAAGAUGUGCAAAGGUCAAGAGUUGACGGUCAUUUAAAAAAAAAAUCAUUUUGACCCUGGGUGAACCAGGGGGGGCCACCACGAGGGUCAGAAGAGGCCAGGUGCAUCCCUGCCAGCCCCCCUGGAGACAUAACGAUGUCCCACGAGGGUCACUGACAGCUCUGCCUCAACCCCCUGCCGAGCCAGAGCACCAAGCCUCCCCCUGUUGACUUAUGGGACUGGCCAGGGCAGUGACAGGAGCCUGGCCCGAGGGAGAGCCUCGCAGAGCACUGCAGAGAAAGGCAACCUUCAGAGACGAGCCACGGUAUUUAUAGUCUCAUUUCCGCGGAGAGCCGUGGGCUCGGGUUCUACACAUCUCAGCAAGUUGAA